rnacentral:rRNA from 1 species
AUGUCUUUACAUCAACUUGAUGUGAAGAAUGCUUUCUUGCAUGGGGACUUAAAGGAGGAGGUCUACAUGGAGAUCCCACCUGGGUUCUCGACUUUUGAGACGGCUGACAAGGUAUGCAGGCUAAAGAAAACUCUUCGCGACCGAAGUAGUCUCCAAGAGCUUGGUUUGACAAGUUUAGACGGGCGGUAUGUGACAUGGGGUAUGGACAAUGCAAUGGUGACCAUACAUUGUUUCAUAGACACUCUAAAGGGAAACAUAACCAUCCUCGAAGUUUAUGUAGAUGAUAUCAUUGUCACCGGUGAUGGUGACUAG